rnacentral:lncRNA from 1 species
ACCAGUUAUUAGUUGCUUCUAGUAAAGAAGUGAGGGUGCUGUAAUUAGACCUAAAGCCAGAUUGAUAAGGAUUGAUAAGCUGAUUAUCAGUUAAAUAUGCAUAAAAUUGGUCAUAAACGAGCCUUUCAAAACUUUUAGCAAUUGCAGAAAUGAUUGAAAUAGGUCGAUAGUUGCCGAGAUCACCUUUAUCCCCAUUUUUAAAGAUAGGUAAAACUCUAGCCAUCUUCCAAUCAUCCGGAUAAAUUCCCAUGGAAAUUGAGCGAUUAAAAAUGGCCGUGAGUGAUGGAGACAAAAUCUCGGCAGCUAUUUUCAAGACCUUACAAGGAACAUUAUCAGGACCAGUUGCUUUAUUAGGAUUAAUGGAUUUCAGAGUUUUGAUUACAGUCUCAACAUUUAUUUCAGCAAAUGAAAAUGAGCUAUUGACUGGGUUUAUAUAAGAAAUAGGAUUUACAUCUGAGCUAGGUAGAUUUUUGGCAAGGUUAUCGCCUAUCGUAGUAAAGUAGGUAUUGAAAGCAUUUGCUAUAUCAGCUGAAUUCGUGAUCUCUGCUCCGUCAUGUUUUAUAGUUUUCACAUUUGUGGUUGCAUUGGCUUUGCGUGAAGAAAGUUCAUUAAUAAGUCGCCACGUUUUCUUUGGAUCAUUUUUGGCUGUAUUAAUCCGUGUCAUGAAGUAAUCUCGUUUCGACUUUUUAAUAAGCUUAUUAGCUUCAUUGCGAGCUUUUUUAUAUCGAGACCAAAUUUGAUCGUUAGGAUUUUUAUCAAAACGUUUUUUGAGAGAGUCUCUUUCGCGUAAUUUAUGAAUUAGCAAUGAGUUAAUCCACGGAGAUUUUUUACAUCUAAGCCUUUUGGUUAGAACAGGAGCAUGAAUGUCCAAAAUAUCUGAAAAUUUGGUGAACCAGGCUGUCCACAUAUCAUUAGGAUUGUUUUGUGAGUUUAUAUCGGACCAAUUUAUUUGUCGGAUAUCAUUUAAAAAUUCCUCAUCAUUAAAAUUUUUCAUUUGUCUCCUAGUGACUGGAUAAUUUGUAUCGAU